GACGAACGCUGGCGGCGUGCUUAACACAUGCAAGUCGAACGCUGAAGCCUAGCUUGCUGGGUGGAUGAGUGGCGAACGGGUGAGUAACACGUGAGUAACCUGCCCUCUUCUUUGGGAUAACGCCCGGAAACGGGUGCUAAUACUGGAUAUUCACUGAUCUUCACAUGGGGGUUGGUGGAAAGGUUUUUUCUGGUGGGGGAUGGGCUCGCGACCUAUCAGCUUGUUGGUGGGGUGAUGGCCUACCAAGGCUUUGACGGGUAGCCGGCCUGAGAGGGUGACCGGUCACAUCGGGACUGAGAUACGGCCCAGACUCCUACGGGAGGCAGCAGUGGGGAAUAUUGCACAAUGGGCGCAAGCCUGAUGCAGCGACGCCGCGUGAGGGAUGAAGGCCUUCGGGUUGUAAACCUCUUUCGUCAGGGAACAAGGCAUUGCCUUUUUUGGUGGUGUUGAGGGUACCUGGAUAAGAAGCGCCGGCUAACUACGUGCCAGCAGCCGCGGUAAUACGUAGGGCGCAAGCGUUGUCCGGAAUUAUUGGGCGUAAAGAGCUCGUAGGCGGCUGGUCGCGUCUGUCGUGAAAACUUCCGGCUCAACCGGGGGCUUGCGGUGGGUACGGGCCGGCUAGAGUGCGGUAGGGGUAACUGGAACUCCUGGUGUAGCGGUGGAAUGCGCAGAUAUCAGGAAGAACACCGAUGGCGAAGGCAGGUUACUGGGCCGUUACUGACGCUGAGGAGCGAAAGCGUGGGGAGCGAACAGG
rnacentral:rRNA from 1 species